AAUGAUUAAUUUAAUGGCCGCGGUAUAUUGACCGUGCAAAGGUAGCAUAAUAAAUUGUUUCUUAAUUGGGGGCUGGAAUGAAUGAUGGGAUGUGAUAAAUACUGUCUUUAUAGUAAUGGAUUGAAAUUUACUUUUUGAUGAGAAGGUUAAAAUUUAAUUGGUAGACGAGAAGACCCUAUCAAGCUUUAUUUUGAAAGUAAUUUUAUUUUUUUGAUUGGUAUAUGAGUUAUGAUUUGAAUUUUAUUGGGGCAAUGUUUGAAUAUAUUGUAAUUUUUUAUGAAUUGUUGGUUUUUGAUCCAUUAUUAAUGAUUGAAGGAAUAAGUUACUGUAGGGAUAACAGCGUGAUUAAUCUGGAGAGUUCAUAUUGGUAGAUUAGAUUGCGACCUCGAUGUUGGUUUAAUGGAUCUUUAGGGUGUAGCAGCUUUAUGAGAG
rnacentral:rRNA from 1 species